rnacentral:lncRNA from 1 species
AUGAUUAUCAGUCCACGAUUAUUAAUAUCUCUAAGGUUUUGCUCAUGCUAUCCUCUCCCUUCCUGGAAAACCCUCCCCACCUCAAGGGUUACUUCCUCCAAGAAGCAUUCCUGGUGGUCUUCUGGCUGCCGGCCUCCUAGGUACCGCAGCCGCCACUGCCAGGGCCAGGAACCUCUUCAGCACUACGGACAGCGCUCAUUCGCCCAUUCACAGCCGGCGCCUCAGCCGGCAUCGUUUCAGAACGACGGACAGCUCCUGGCGCAACCCCAGCCGGGCCCUGGCGGCAGGGCUCACACACCCCAGGCGCUCCAUCAGCACCUGGGCACACUUGGGGUCAAGGCCAACAAUGAGAAGAAAGGUUCCCCCGGAUUGCCAUGCUGCCCCCGGAGCCCCUCUUCAGCAAGAAUCUCCCUCGCCGUCGCCAAAGACGUCCCAAGCAGCAGACCUGAGCCAGAGGAAAAGGAGGCAUCUCUGCUAAUCCUCCCACCCAGUUCCUGAGAAGAAAGCACCAGGACCCCUGGAAGCCACAUGCUGUGUUGGCCUGGCUGCUGCUCCCCACUACUCCUUGGGGUUAAAGGCCUGGUGCCCCCUCCCAUCACCUCCAGCCACACCUCUCCUGUCUUCAAAAGCCUAGAAGGCUAGUCCUUCCUCACUCUAAAGUCCUUUCAGAAAAACUUCUGAAACAGUGUGUCUCAAACUGCUAUAAAGUCAUAAAGAUUUUUCACAAGAGAUCCCCUAGAUAUAUACAGAUAUAGGCAAUUAAGCAAGUGCUGCACAACAUACUACUUACCUUUGUGAAAUAUGAUGCACUCCGAUAGUUUCUAUUGUGAUUGCUAUGCUAUGCUGUGCUGUGCUAUGCUAUGCUAUGCUAUGCUAUGCUAUGCUAUGCUAUGCUAUGCUAUUCUUUUAAGAGCUCAUUAUAACUGACCAAGUGGAUUUCACAACUUUCUAAGGAAUCUAAGUCUGCAGCUAAAAUACUCCAAAAAUUCCAGCAAAGACAAAAACUCAGGCCUAGAUUUGCCACCAGUGCCCUCUCCUGGGCAGCUUUAUUAUAAGUCGUGUCUCAUAACAUUGUUUAAUUGUCAUAAACAUUGUUUAAUUGUCAACAUCUGUGUGUGUGUACUGAGUCUCGCCAGGAAAUAGAUGAUUUAUGUCGGUUACAACCUAAAAGAUUUAAGAAGCAAUGUUUAGAAAUGUUCUGAUAAAUAAAGGCUGAGCUAAAAGGGCAUUGUGUAUAUGUGUGUGUGUGAGAGAGAGAAAGGCUUUCAUCAGAGGUUGUACAGAUUUUCCUCUGCGAUCUCCUCUCUUCCUGCAAAUCAGCCAGAGGUGGGAUCUCAGGAACCUAUCCCUGCCUCCCCAAAGCCAUCCUCACAUGAGGCCAGCCUGGGAAGAGGACAGCAGAGCUCACAUCUCUGUGGAGAGGAGGCUGGGCUCAAUGCAGGCCUCUGUGUCUUUGGUCAUCUUCACUUCAUAGGUCUUGUCCUGAGACCCUCCUGCUGACACACCAUGGUUGCAUGGCUCUCCCAGGAAAGAACCUAUGAUGUUCAAGAUGGAGAAAAUCAUUAGGCACUGCUAACCCGACACCCCCACGCUUUGCUCAGCACACAUGCAUGCAUUACUCAUGUACACACACAUGUAUAUGUGUGCAUAAACAUGCACACAUACACACACACAUGUAUACACAUGUGAACAUGCAUGCAGUUUCUGUGGCCUCAUUAUCCUGUGAUGGCCUAUG